rnacentral:rRNA from 1 species
AGGCCCAGACAGCCAGGAUGUUGGCUUAGAAGCAGCCAUCAUUUAAAGAAAGCGUAAUAGCUCACUGGUCGAGUCGGCCUGCGCGGAAGAUGUAACGGGGCUAAACCAUGCACCGAAGCUGCGGCAGCGACACUGUGUGUUGUUGGGUAGGGGAGCGUUCUGUAAGCCUGUGAAGGUGUGUCGUGAGGCAUGCUGGAGGUAUCAGAAGUGCGAAUGCUGACAUAAGUAACGAUAAAGCGGGUGAAAAGCCCGCUCGCCGGAAGACCAAGGGUUCCUGUCCAACGUUAAUCGGGGCAGGGUGAGUCGACCCCUAAGGCGAGGCCGAAAGGCGUAGUCGAUGGGAAACGGGUUAAUAUUCCCGUACUUGGUGUUACUGCGAAGGGGGGACGGAGAAGGCUAUGUUGGCCGGGCGACGGUUGUCCCGGUUUAAGCGUGUAGGUGUGUGUUCCAGGUAAAUCCGGUUCACUUUAACACUGAGGCGUGACGACGAGGCACUACGGUGCUGAAGCAACAAAUGCCCUGCUUCCAGGAAAAGCCUCUAAGCAUCAGGUAACAUCAAAUCGUACCCCAAACCGACACAGGUGGUCAGGUAGAGAAUACCAAGGCGCUUGAGAGAACUCGGGUGAAGGAACUAGGCAAAAUGGUGCCGUAACUUCGGGAGAAGGCACGCUGACACGUAGGUGAAGUGAUUUACUCAUGGAGCUGAAGUCAGUCGAAGAUACCAGCUGGCUGCAACUGUUUAUUAAAAACACAGCACUGUGCAAACACGAAAGUGGACGUAUACGGUGUGACGCCUGCCCGGUGCCGGAAGGUUAAUUGAUGGGGUCAGCGCAAGCGAAGCUCCUGAUCGAAGCCCCGGUAAACGGCGGCCGUAACUAUAACGGUCCUAAGGUAGCGAAAUUCCUUGUCGGGUAAGUUCCGACCUGCACGAAUGGCGUAAUGAUGGCCAGGCUGUCUCCACCCGAGACUCAGUGAAAUUGAACUCGCUGUGAAGAUGCAGUGUACCCGCGGCAAGACGGAAAGACCCCGUGAACCUUUACUAUAGCUUGACACUGAACAUUGAGCCUUGAUGUGUAGGAUAGGUGGGAGGCUUUGAAGUGUGGACGCCAGUCUGCAUGGAGCCGACCUUGAAAUACCACCCUUUAAUGUUUGAUGUUCUAACGUGGACCCGUUACCCGGGUUGCGGACAGUGUCUGGUGGGUAGUUUGACUGGGGCGGUCUCCUCCUAAAGAGUAACGGAGGAGCACGAAGGUUGGCUAAUCCUGGUCGGACA